rnacentral:rRNA from 1 species
UUCCGGUUGAUCCUGCCGGACCCGACUGCUAUCGGAUUGAGAUUUAGCCAUGCGAGUCGAACGUCCCCCUGUUGCGGGGGGCGUGGCGUACGGCUCAGUAACACGUAGUCAACCUGCCCUGGAGACAAGGACAACCCCGGGAAACUGGGAUUAAUCCUUGAUAGGUCAUCUCAUCUGGAAGGAGAGAUGGCUUAAAGGGGUACGCGGGCUUCUUCUGCGUAUUCGCUCCAGGAUGGGACUGCGACCGAUCAGGCUGUUGGCGGGGUAAUGGCCCACCAAACCUGUAACCGGUACGGGCCUUGAGAGAGGUGGCCCGGAGAUGGACACUGAGAGAAGGGUCCAGGUCCUACGGGGCGCAGCAGGCGCGAAACCUUCGCAAUGCGCGAAAGCGUGACGAGGUUAAUCCGAGUGGUCCCCGCUGAGGGGACCUUUUGUCAGCUGUAAAUAGGCAGGCGAAUAAGGGGAGGGCAAGCCUGGUGUCAGCCGCCGCGGUAAUACCAGCUCCUCGAGUGGUCGGGGCGAUUAUUGGGCCUAAAGCAUCCGUAGCCGGUUCCGUAGGUCCUCUGUUAAAUCCAACCGCUUAACGGUUGACCUGCAGAGGAUACCGCGGGACUAGGAGGCGGGAGAGGCGGACGGUACUCCGCGUGUAGGGUAAAUCCUUUGAUCGCGGAGACCACCAGUGGCGAGCGUCGCAGACGCGCUCGACGGUGAGGAUGAAGCUGGGGGAGCGACCGAUUAGAUACCGGUAGUCCAGCCGUAACG